CCUACGGGUGGCAGCAGUGGGGAAUAUUACACAAUGGGGGAAACCCUGAUGCAGCGACGCCGCGUGAGUGAAGAAGUAAUUCGUUAUGUAAAGCUCUAUCAGCAGGGAAGAAAAUGACGGUACCUGAGUAAGAAGCCCCGGCUAACUACGUGCCAGCAGCCGCGGUAAUACGUAGGGGGCAAGCGUUAUCCGGAUUUACUGGGUGGAAAGGGAGCGUAGACGGCAGUGCAAGUCUGGAGUGAAGGGCGGGGGCUCAACCCCCGGACUGCUCUGGAAACUGUACGGCUGGAGUGCAGGAGAGGUAAGUGGAAUUCCUAGUGUAGCGGUGAAAUGCGUAGAUAGUAGGAGGAACACCAGUGGCGAAGGCGGCUUACUGGACUGUAACUGACGUUGAGGCUCGAAAGCGUGGGGAGCAAACAGGAUUAGAUACCCUUGUAGUC
rnacentral:rRNA from 1 species